rnacentral:rRNA from 1 species
CCUACGGGGGGCAGCAGUGGGGAAUAUUGGGCAAUGGGCGCAAGCCUGACCCAGCAACGCCGCGUGAAGGAAGAAGGCUUUCGGGUUGUAAAAUUCUUUUCUGAGGGACGAAGAAAGUGACGGUACCUCAUGAAUAAGCCACGUCUAACUACGUGCCAGCAGCCGCGGGAAUACGUAGGUGGCAAGCGUUAGCCGGAUUUAUUGGGUGUAAAGGGCGUGUUGGUGGGAAAGCAAGUCAGAUGUGAAAAUUCAGGGCUCAACCCUGAGCGUGCAUUGGAAACUGGUUGUCUUGAGUGCUGGAGAGGCAAUCGGAAUUCCGUGUGUAGCGGUGAAAUGCGUAGAUAUACGGAGGAACACCAGUGGCGAAGGCGGAUUGCUGGACAGUAACUGACGCUGAGGCGCGAAAGCGUGGGGAGCAAACAGGAUUAGAUACCCGGGUAGUC